GGUUUGCUGCUGCAGGCCAAUAGGGGCUGCGGGAAGCAGCAUGGGCCGAGGGAUGUGCUGGCUGUUACCAGCGUGAAUUUUACAGCUACAUACAUCUUUCUAUACAUUGACAUGAUUUUACAAUUAGCCCUUCUAAAACGUGAUCACCACUUCUUCUCUUCAUCAAAGUUUAGAAAGUUUCCAGAUAUUUUACCUUACCAUUGCAAGCCAGUACCCACAAUCCCCCAACUGGCAUAAGAAAAAUAGUUGCAUGGUGCAGAAUAGCAUUGUCUAAUUUUGUUUCAUUAUGAUAGUCUGCUGAAAUGUAGAUUCUGGCAUCUUUGAAUUGCAAAGAAAUCCCUUGUCAGUUACUUGUAUUACAAUAGCUCCUACUGGCUUGAACACAUUAUAUUAGACAUGAUACGAAAAUAUAACUAAAAGACAGUCCCUGCCCAAAAGAUCUUAAAAUCGAAAUAUAAUACGAGACAACGGCUAGUUACAGCAGACAGACAAGAAGAGCCUAAGGUAACAUUGAGAUGAGUGUGAUCAAUGCGAUAAGCGGAGGUCACAACAUGCCAGCUGCUUAACCUCGGUCUAGGUAACCUUAGAGAAAUAAAACUUGCAUUAGGGUCUAUGUUCUCCAGCAAGAGCAUCUAUUCUGUUACCAGUUCCUACCUCAAUGCGUAUAAUCCAGCUGCUUGCAGAUUAUAAUCAACUCCCUCCUGCAAAAUGUUUUUAGGGCUCUUCCAAGUCUUGAUUAAGGCUUUUCUUUUGAUGGUGAACUAAUAUGAAAGGGGUAAGAGACUGUAAUGGACCAGCUGACAAACUAUGAUGAUUUCAGCCCUUUGGCCACCGCUGGAAGCAAGCUGAGAAAUGCUAAUUAUAGCUUGUAACAUACUGCAGGGGUCCUUUUGCAGUAGAUUUACAGAAGGUAAAAAUCAACAAUUGGACUAAGCACCAUGGAUGGCGUUUUUUGCUUUAAAAUACACAAACACUUUUAGAAAUGGAGUGUGUUAGUCACAAGAAGCUUUUGAGUUUACAAUGCAAUUUUUGCACUUGAUGCCGUUGACUUUCUUUGACUUUGUGCUUGACAUGUGUCCUGUUGUUGUCAGUCAUUGGGUAUCAUUACAUUAGUUUGUCCUUUAAUGAAUCAUAAACAAGAUCCUGACAUGCUGGCUGAAACAAAAGAGGAAACUAAAUCCAGCUGACUACUAAAUACGAGAGUGGCACUGCCUUCUCUUGCCAUGGCUAGAGAGGUAUUUGCUUUGAGCAAGAGAGAAAUUGCUUGUUGAAUGAUGCAUAGAGAGAGGUUUGUAAACAUGGAACAAGCAGCAUGGUAAUCUGGUUUACUAUUUGUUUAACAUCAGUUCCAUGCUGGAGAUAACCUUGCUAACAGCCUAUACUAUUUGUUCUUUAUCUCCUCCCUCCCAAGAAAUGUUAAAAUAGUAGGGGAAACAACAUUUAAUUCUUUAAAUUUAAUUUUGUUUUUGUGUCACACUAGUCUGAGGCCUGGACUGUAUAAAUAUUUCUCAAAUAUAAAUGUG